rnacentral:tRNA from 1 species
AGGAUAAUAGUUAAAAAUAACAUUUAAUUUGCAUUUAAAAAAUAUUGAUAAAUCAAUUUAUCUUA